AUAGCGGCCGUCAGGUGGCACUCCGAUCGAUCAGUAGUGCGCGUCGCUUUCCGCCAUCUUUAGUUGUCGGUUCCGUGGCUGCUCCGAUAGUAGUGAAAGAAUAUUAGAUAGAUAACGCGAAGAUUUCUUUGGAAUUUGAAGUAAGUGUAAUUAGAGAGGUGAGGAGAAACUUGUGGUAAGGUAGGAGAGGAGGAGAGCCCGAGGCAUUGAGUGAGUCAGCCGUUAAAUCGCCGGCUCGUAUCGCAAAGUUUUACGGAAUUGUACUCCGGUGAACCUUGCAGUACGGUGUGGAUAAACUCUCCUGCCGGAACCAUGAGUUAUCAAAUAUCGUCCAAUCAAUCAAGACCAAUGUCCCAUGGAAAUUACCAGGGACCAGGUGAUCUACCUAUGGGGUCAGCAAAAGAACAGACACUGCUAUGGCAACAGAAUUCUUACAUAGCAGAUUCUGGUAUCCAUUCAGGAUCAGUUACACAGGCCCCAUCUCUGUCUGGUAAAGAAGAUGACGAAAUGGAAGGUGAUCCAUUGAUGUUUGACUUGGAUCAAGGAUUUGCUCAAGGAUUUACUCAAGAUCAAGUUGAUGAAAUGAAUCAACAAUUGAGUCACACUCGAUCUCAGAGAGUUCGGGCAGCCAUGUUUCCAGAAACAUUGGAAGAAGGCAUAGAGAUACCUUCUACCCAAUUUGAUCCGGCACAACCAACUGCUGUUCAACGGUUGGCAGAGCCGAGUCAAAUGUUGAAACAUGCAGUGGUUAAUUUAAUAAAUUAUCAAGACGACGCAGACUUAGCCACUAGAGCAAUACCGGAAUUAAUAAAACUCUUAAAUGAUGAAGAUCAAGUAGUAGUUUCUCAAGCAGCCAUGAUGGUUCAUCAGCUUUCGAAAAAGGAAGCAUCCCGUCAUGCAAUUAUGAACAGCUCCCAAAUGGUAGCUGCUUUGGUGCGUGCUAUUUCCAACAGCGAUGAUUUGGAAUCAACGAAAGCAGCUGUUGGCACGUUGCACAAUUUAUCCCAUCAUAGACAAGGUCUUUUAGCCAUAUUCAAAAGUGGUGGUAUUCCUGCACUUGUAAAGCUAUUGAGUUCUCCUAUGGAAUCUGUAUUGUUCUAUGCUAUAACAACGUUACACAAUUUGCUCCUUCAUCAAGACGGCUCAAAAAUGGCUGUACGACUGGCUGGUGGUUUACAGAAAAUGGUUGCGCUACUUCAAAGAAACAAUGUAAAAUUUCUAGCUAUAGUGACAGAUUGUCUUCAAAUACUGGCUUACGGUAAUCAAGAAAGUAAAUUGAUCAUACUCGCUUCUCAAGGACCGAUAGAAUUAGUACGCAUCAUGCGUUCCUAUGAUUAUGAAAAAUUAUUAUGGACAACGUCUAGAAUUUUAAAAGUAUUAUCCGUAUGUCCUAGUAAUAAGCCAGCGAUCGUAGAAGCUGGUGGUAUGCAAGCUUUAGCAAUGCAUCUUGGUAAUCCGAGUCAAAGAUUUGUACAGAAUUGCUUAUGGACAUUACGAAAUUUAUCAGACGCCGGUACCAAAGUCGAUGGACUCGAAGGAUUACUUCAAAGUCUUGUACAAGUUCUUGGCUCAACGGAUGUUAACGUUGUCACGUGUGCAGCAGGAAUAUUAUCCAAUCUUACAUGUAAUAAUCAACGGAACAAGGUUACAGUAUGUCAAGUAGGAGGCGUCGAUGCUCUCGUCCGCACAAUUAUCAAUGCCGGAGAUCGCGAAGAAAUAACUGAACCAGCUGUCUGCGCUUUACGUCAUUUAACAUCGCGCCACGGCGAAGCAGAAAUGGCACAGAACUCAGUCCGUUUGAAUUACGGGAUUCAAAUAAUAGUCAAAUUGCUAAAUCCUCCUUCGCGUUGGCCAUUGGCGAAAGCAGUUAUUGGUCUGAUCCGUAAUCUCGCCCUUUGUCCUGCGAAUCACGGACCACUUCGGGAUCACGGAGCGAUUCAUCAUCUGGUUAGGCUUUUGAUGCGUGCUUACCAGACAACACAACGGCAGAGAACGUCAGUGGCCAUUACUGGUAAUCAACAGGCACCAGCGACGUAUGCGGAUGGAGUUCGUAUGGAGGAAAUAGUCGAAGGCACUGUUGGGGCUCUUCACAUUCUUGCAAGAGAAUCACACAAUAGGGUCAUUAUCCGAUCGCAGAAUGUUAUUCCAAUAUUCGUGCAGCUAUUAUUCAAUGAAAUCGAAAAUAUUCAACGCGUCGCAGCUGGUGUACUUUGCGAGCUUGCGGCUGAUAAAGAAGGUGCUGAGAUGAUUGAACACGAAGGUGCGACAGCAGCCCUAACAGAAUUACUACACUCGAGAAACGAAGGUGUUGCAACGUACGCGGCAGCCGUACUCUUCCGCAUGAGCGAGGACAAACCUCAAGAAUACAAGAAACGACUCUCCAUGGAAUUAACGAACUCCUUGUUACGCGAGGAUACGAAUUUGUGGAACAAUACUGAUUUCGGCAUGGGUCCAGAUCUACAGGACAUGCUUGGCCCUGAUCAAGGCUAUGAUGGUAUGUAUGGACAAGGACCUCCUAGUGUACACAGCAGCCAUGGCGGCCGUGGUUAUCAACCACAAGCAGCUUAACCCACGGAGUUUAAUUAAAAUACAGGCUAUCAACCGUAUCUCGCAGUAACAUAGGUUAUGACCAGAUACCAGUAGAUUCGAUGCAAGGAUUAGAAAUAGGCGGAGGAUCGACAUACGGUGCAAUGGA
rnacentral:misc_RNA from 1 species